AUGAGCUGCAGACCCCACGGCCAACCCCACCUCCUCCUCCCUGCGGGAUUUCCGCCCGCGGCUCUCCUCCUCUUCCUCCAUCUCCAGGCCCGUCUCCUCCGUCAGGCGGGAGCUGCGUCGGCGCCGUCCGUCCUCCAGCCCCGUGAUCUCCGACUCCGGACGACCCGUCUUCUUGGCCAGGGCAACCUUCAACCUGCCCAGACACAGCAGAGGCGUCCACUGCCUGCCCCACUGCCUGCCCCACUGCCUGCCCCACACACACCCUGCUCGUGGGCUUGCCAAGGCACGCGGUUACACCGCAGCACCAGGAAAAGUCACCCUGAGACCCCCCCCCCCCCGGGGAAGGUGUGGAGGCCACAAGUGGGACCCCAGCCUUAUGCAGGGGGGGGCAGCCCCCACCCACCUGCGCAGCCGGCCCUCGAUGAUCCACUUGUUUUUCCUGUAGUUGGACAUGUUCUCCAGGGUCUUGUCGAUCUCGCUGCAGGAAGAGGGGGGGGCUGGCUGCGGUGGGGGGCUCUCCGGGGAGAAGAAGAGCCCACACCGAGCCCACAGGCUGGGAUCAGAGGAAGGGAUUGCCCCCCAACCCACACUCACUUGAUGAUGAGGGCGCUGCUGUUGAGCUCGUUCACCAGGAAGGCCAGGAUGGUGGCUUUUUUCUCCGGGGGCAGGGCCUGGAAGGGCUUGGUCCUCAGCCCCUCGCACAGGUCCUCGCCCGCCCCGUACGCCAUCAGGAAGCAGCGCAGGAUCUCGGAGACGGUGUCACGGUUCAGGCUGAUCUCCGACACCUUUUCCCCCAGGAUCUUCAGGGACUGGGCAGAGCAGAGAGGACAUUGGGGAGACCCCUCUUGUACCAUGGCGGGGGGGGGUUGCCAGGAGGGGAAAAAACCAAGCAGGGGGAGGACGCCAGCAUCCCAUGGAUGGGAAAACCAGGGCCAGGAACAUGAGCAAGAACAAGCCUGGGGGCAGGAUGGACACCCCCCAAGGGCUGCCAGGGACCAGGAUCUGGCCAGGCGCAGGAUGCUGCAGCAAGAGCAGUGCCCCCCAAAUCUGGGCUCCCCUCUCCUAAGCCUGCAGCAGCCGGGGCCUCGGGGGCACCAACACCCCUGA
rnacentral:lncRNA from 1 species